rnacentral:rRNA from 1 species
UACAUAUUAUGUAAUGAUUGAUCCCUACAUCUAGCAUUUAAGAAAGAAGCAGUGAGAACCGACCAACGGUGAUUCUUGGCGCAUGUAAUGACUGAA